rnacentral:rRNA from 1 species
UACGUAGGGGGCUAGCGUUGUGCGGAAUUACUGGGCGUAAAGGGCGUGUAGGCGGCCCGGAAAGUCGGGUGGGAAAGCCCUGGGCUUAACCUAGGAAGUGCAUUCGAAACUCCCGUGGCUUGAGUUUUGGAGAGGGAAGCGGAAUUCUCGGUGUAGAGGUGAAAUUCGUAGAUAUCGAGAGGAACACCGGUGGCGAAGGCGGCUUCCUGGACAAUGACUGACGCUGAGACGCGAAAGCGUGGGGAGCAAACAGG